rnacentral:rRNA from 1 species
CGGUGACAGGUGCUGCAUGGUUGUCGUCAGCUCGUGCCUUGAGGUGUUCGGUUAAGUCCGUGAACGAGCGCAACCCAUGUCCUGUGUUGUUUUUUCACAGGAGACUGCCGAUUCAAAGUCGGAGGAAGGUAUGGACGACGUCAAAUCAGCAUGGCCCUUAUGCCUAGGGCUGCACAGGUGCUACAAUGGCUAAUACAAUAGGUAGCAAUAUCGUAAGAUGGAGCCAAUCCCAAAAGUUAGUCUAAGUUCGGAUUGAGGGCUGCAAUUCGCCCUCAUGAAGUUGGAAUCGCUAGUAACCGUGAAUCAGCAAUAUCACGGUGAAUAUGUUCCUGGGUCUUGUACUCACCGCCCGUCACACUACGGAAGGUGGAGGCACCCGAAGUACCCUUAGCUUUGAGCGGGGUCCUAAGGUGAAAUCACUGACUGGAGUGAAGUCGUAACAAGUAACC